rnacentral:rRNA from 1 species
UACGGAGGGUGCGAGCGUUAAUCGGAAUUACUGGGCGUAAAGGGUGCGUAGGUGUGCAGUAAGCUAUCUGUGAAAUUCCUGGGCUUAACCUGGGGUGGUCAGAUAAAACUGCUGCACUCGAGUAUAGGAGAGGGUAGUGGAAUUUCCGGUGUAGCGGUGAAAUGCGUAGAGAUCGGAAGGAACACCAGUGGCGAAGGCGGCUACCUGGCCUGAUACUGACACUGAGGCACGAAAGCGUGGGGAGCAAACAGG